rnacentral:lncRNA from 1 species
CUUCAGAAGCGGGGCUGACAUCCCCAAAAAUGAGGUGGAGCAAUUUAAGGGCAAUAAGGAGUAAUAGAAAUUCUCUGCAUUUUUCAAGGAUGAAAUGGUCUGAGCUAAGAGUGGUUCAUCAUGGAGCUAAGAGUGGUUCAUCAUGGUUAACCCUAAGAAAUGGCACAGGGGAAAGGUGAGGAACUUCUUCAGUGCUGUGCCUAAAACCUCUUUCAUGGAUGGCAUGGGUGUUGGC